rnacentral:lncRNA from 1 species
CGAGGGCUGAAUGAUCGGUUAUUGCUUUUACUUUCUCUAUUGCUUUUACUCAUCUGCCUGGAAGUGAUGCACCAAGGGCUGCGUGGGGCCCUCCAGCCUGUUCCCCAAAAGCCAGCACCACCGACACCGGGUGCUCGCCCCGCUGCUGGCAGGCCGCCGGGGUCCACCAGGGCUACCCGGUGGCCGCAGGAGCUCCCGGAGCAGCCAAUUUCACCCCGAGCUCAAACCAAUCUGGCUCCUCUCCUCUAGAGACAUUAAGAGAGAAGGCCAACAUGAAUCAUUUCACAGCCCCAUGAACCUCUCCAGAUGAGAGCAGAGCUCGGAACGGCCACCUGGGGUUAUUCAGAGCAGAGGAUUUUGAAAUGCUGCCCUUCAUAACAAAGCCCUUUCCUGUUUUGAGGCACAAAGAAGAGACCAGCGAACAAUAGUGGGAAUCCUGGAGAAACACAGGCAGUCUCAGGGGUGUCAGGAACAGGGACGGGGACCGGCCCCAGCGCUUCCCUGGAAAACAAGAGGCCCCAGGCACAGCGCAGCCACUGGCACAGGAGAAGUUUCUGUAGGUUGUGACCAGGUAGGGUGGAGCAUACAGGGCUGAGAGGAACACAGCUGCUUCCCAAGGUUCACUGACCAGGGAAGGAACUCACGUAAACCCAGUAAAGGAAAGCAGAGGAGCCAGUUCCAUGGAAAAGGACCUGUCCCGGCCACCACAUCCUGCCCCGGGCUGCCCUUUCCAGGGGCAGAGCAGGACAGAUCCCAGGCAGGCAGCGCCUGGUGGGCGUGCAGCAGAGCCAGGAGCCCUUGGGCUCAUCCAGGCUGGCACCGACCCAUCUGUUCUCCCUCUGUUCUUUGUGUCUUCAUGUGCAAUUUCAACCUUUCCAGUGCCAAAGCCUUGCCGUGAGUCUCAGCCAGCCUGCUGCCCUCAGACACACAUCUCCCAGCCUCUGCUCCCGGCUGCCCUCCUCCAGCAUUCUGCAAGGCUGAAAGGACAAAGCUGGACUGUCCUCAGGGAGAGACUCGACGGCAGAGGCAAAGGCUAUAGGGAUCCCCGCACUGGCACGCGGCACUCGCUCCCUCCCCAAACACCGCCGAGGAGGCCUCUGCCUGCCCCAGUUUCUUCCCAGGAGGACGGUGUGCUUGAAGAGCCACGAGAAGAGCUGCAGAAGAGCCUCUCCCUGCACCGGCAGGGCCAGGACACCUCCAGCGUGGAGCCCCCCACCAGCAGGCAGCGGUGCCUGAGAGCCAGCACGUGCCCCCAGCAGGGCCGGCACGGAGAGGGGAGGGCACAGGGUGGGGAAAAGGGGUUUGGGCCACAGCCUUGGUGCCCUAAGGGCCACGUCCAUCCCUCAGAGGGGUGGGUGACGUGGCAGAAGGGCCACCAUGGUGGCUGCUGACAGCCAGGAGCACGGGACACCCAGACCCACAGCAUCCUCGCGGGGGCAAACUGGCAUCCCACCUCGGGGGGAGGUUUUGGCGUUGUCGGGGCCAUCACCGCUCCCCCUGCCAGCUUCACACCCCCAGCCCCACCGCAGGGAGAGGGGUCCCUGAGCCCCCUGUGCCACGGGGAGCCGCCGAGCAGCCGGGCUCCGUCCCCAGGCUGGGGGCUCCCCAAUAGCUCAACACUAAGACUGCGAAGCCAGGAUGUCUGCGACUGAGCCUGGGCAGAAGUCAGCC